UUCAACUGAUUUCCCUCCGUUUCAUAAAGAUUGGCACGGAUUUGAACUAAACCUAGUUUAAAGCCAUGCCAAUCUUUAUGGAACGGAGAGAGUACUUGUGUGUC